rnacentral:lncRNA from 1 species
CAGGAACUUCUCCCUGAAGUGCAAUGAGGCGGGGAGAGCAAGCAAGCGAGCAUCUGCUUGGAGGGUAAAGGCCUGCCACCCUGCUCAUGGAGCCACGCUUUCUGCCCUGGCUUCUGGAAGUCACAAGACGGAGAAAAUGGAGACAUCCAGUUGACAGACGUGUGGAGCACUCAGCCCUCUUUCUACCCCAGAAGGCUGUGCUUCAGAAAACAGCAGCACGUGUUGGCUUAUAUGAGGAGACAGCUCACGGAGAGAUACGAAAUACAAGGAGAAAUGGCUGACUCCCUGAUUGUCAGGACACCUCUCCACUACUCAGUCCAUGCUGCCUCGCCUCGUGGCUCCUUCUGAAGGGUUCAGUCACUCACUAGUGUCCAAAAACCUUGCUCAUUUCGGCACCCCCUUGCACUUGGGUCUGCUUUCCUCUCCCAGGAACUUCAUUGCAUUACCUUAGUUAAGCCUUACAAACCUAUGAGGCAUGUGUUCUCGCUCCCAUUACAGAGGCUGAAAAAGGGCAGCCAAAGAACUUGCCCAGAGUCACUUAACUGGUACAUAGUCUAAAGUCUGAGUCCAAGCAGUUCAAUCCCGCCCCUCCCUCCUAGUUACAAAAUUAUAUUGCCU